GCUUUGUUCUCCUCUCCAACUGAUGUGGGAUCUCACAAUGUGAGUCUUGGUUGGUUGGUUGGUUGGUGACGGGUACCCCGCACAAUAGUAUGACAUGGUCUAUUUUCGGCUUAAAGCACCCAUGUAGUCUCGGUAAGAUACUGUACUUGUAUAUUUAAGGCAUGCUCCACUUUUAAGCAAUAUCGACUAUGUGUUCACAUUCCUAAUAUUUGAGAGCGCUUCGAUGGAUUUUUACACCUUUUUGCUGGUUGCAGAUGGUUUAGUAUUCACUCUCCCUUCUGAUUUUUAUGUGAUUUCAAUGUAAAUGAAGUCCUGUAGUUCAAUUUUGGCACUAAUCAGUUCUACUAGAACUUGUGGCCUAAUAGUCGAGUGAUUGAGGUAAGCCUCAGCUCUAGCUGAAUAAGUUGUCUGAGUCUGAGGUUACUUGUUCAUGGGGAAGGUGAUCUAAAGAUGCUCAAACUAGUUAUGAGCUAUGGCUUGGCAAGGGAAUGUAGCCACCAAUUUUACUCUGCAUUAGGCUAAUAGUUCUCUAGGGUCAUGAUCAUGAACGAUAAGAGAGGUAUGCUGGUUCUUUGAUCAACUUGUGGCUCAUAUAAUGCAGUUGGGUAUUUUAGAAUUCAAGCUCCAACUUAAACCUUCGAUCGUCCAGCGACUAUUCAUUCUGUUAUCAUACAAAAUCGGAAGCUUCUCGAUCUCAUAGGACUGAUUAGAAAGAAGACAGAACAAACUGGAUUGGAGAAAGAAAAUUGAAAUCGUUAAUUUGUGCACUAAUUACAUGGAAUGUAUAUAUGAGGAAUCAUGACAUUUCUAGAUUGUCAUGAAAAACUCGGAUCACAAGGAAUUCUAUCUCACAUUGACACGAGUCCUUUGAGCUAUGAAAUCUUAAUUUUAUGUGA